rnacentral:rRNA from 1 species
AGAGUUUGAUCAUGGCUCAGGACGAACGCUGGCGGCGUGCUUAACACAUGCAAGUCGAACGGUAAGGCCCCAGCUUGCUGGGGUACACGAGUGGCGAACGGGUGAGUAACACGUGGGUGACUGCCCCGCACUUCGGGAUAAGCCUGGGAAACUGGGUCUAAUACCGGAUAGGACCGCACCGUGAGGGUGUGGUGGAAAGUUUUUCGGUGUGGGAUGGGCCCGCGGCCUAUCAGCUUGUUGGUGGGGUAAUGGCCUACCAAGGCGGCGACGGGUAGCCGGCCUGAGAGGGUGGACGGCCACAUUGGGACUGAGACACGGCCCAGACUCCUACGGGAGGCAGCAGUGGGGAAUAUUGCACAAUGGGCGGAAGCCUGAUGCAGCGACGCCGCGUGGGGGAUGACGGCCUUCGGGUUGUAAACUCCUUUCACCAUCGACGAAGGUUUUCUGACGGUAGAUGGAGAAGAAGCACCGGCUAACUACGUGCCAGCAGCCGCGGUAAUACGUAGGGUGCGAGCGUUGUCCGGAAUUACUGGGCGUAAAGAGCUCGUAGGUGGUUUGUCGCGUCGUCUGUGAAAUUCCGGGGCUUAACUCCGGGCGUGCAGGCGAUACGGGCAUAACUUGAGUACUGUAGGGGAGACUGGAAUUCCUGAUGUAGCGGUGAAAUGCGCAGAUAUCAGGAGGAACACCGGUGGCGAAGGCGGGUCUCUGGGCAGUAACUGACGCUGAGGAGCGAAAGCAUGGGUAGCGAACAGGAUUAGAUACCCUGGUAGUCCAUGCCGUAAACGGUGGGCGCUAGGUGUAGGGGUCUUCCACGACUUCUGUGCCGUAGCUAACGCAUUAAGCGCCCCGCCUGGGGAGUACGGCCGCAAGGCUAAAACUCAAAGGAAUUGACGG